UACGGGGGGAGCAAGCGUUGUUCGGAUUUACUGGGCGUAAAGGGCGCGUAGGCGGCGCAACAAGUCACUUGUGAAAUCUCCGGGCUUAACUCGGAAAGGUCAACUGAUACUGUGCGACUAGAGUGCGGAAGGGGCAACUGGAAUUCUUGGUGUAGCGGUGAAAUGCGUAGAUAUCAAGAGGAACACCUGCGGCGAAGGCGGGUUGCUGGGCCGACACUGACGCUGAGGCGCGAAAGCCAGGGGAGCGAACGGG
rnacentral:rRNA from 1 species